rnacentral:rRNA from 1 species
UACGUAGGGUGCGAGCGUUGUCCGGAAUUAUUGGGCGUAAAGGGCUCGUAGGCGGUUUGUCGCGUCGGGAGUGAAAUCCACUGGCUUAACUGGUGGCUUGCUUUCGAUACGGGCAGGCUAGAGUGUGGUAGGGGAGAUCGGAAUUCCUGGUGUAGCGGUGAAAUGCGCAGAUAUCAGGAGGAACACCGGUGGCGAAGGCGGAUCUCUGGGCCAUUACUGACGCUGAGGAGCGAAAGCGUGGGGAGCGAACAGG